rnacentral:rRNA from 1 species
UACGUAGGGACCAAGCGUUGUUCGGAUUCAUUGGGCGUAAAGGGUGCGUAGGCGGCGCGGUAAGUCGGGUGUGAAAUCUCGGAGCUUAACUCCGAAACUGCAUUCGAUACUGCCGUGCUUGAGGACUGGAGAGGAGACUGGAAUUUACGGUGUAGCGGUGAAAUGCGUAGAUAUCGUAAGGAAGACCAGUGGCGAAGGCGGGUCUCUGGACAGUUCCUGACGCUGAGGCACGAAGGUCAGGGGAGCAAACGGG